GGUGUCAAAUACGACACUCUGGAAUUAAAAGGGAAUGCAGUGAAAAUCUGCAACAGUUCCCGCUGCUGUAAGUUUCUAAAUGAUUUAAUCAAUCUGAUCCACUGACUAUAUGUUGGGAAGGAGGUUAAAUUUGGAACGAGUCAGAAGACCUGCCUUUUGCAAAA
rnacentral:ncRNA from 1 species